rnacentral:rRNA from 1 species
AGGCUUAACACAUGCAAGUCGAGCGCUCCGCAAGGGGAGCGGCAGACGGGUGAGUAACGCGUGGGAAUCUACCCAGCUCUACGGAAUAACUCAGGGAAACUUGUGCUAAUACCGUAUACGUCCGAGAGGAGAAAGAUUUAUCGGAGUUGGAUGAGCCCGCGUUGGAUUAGCUAGUUGGUGGGGUAAAGGCCUACCAAGGCGACGAUCCAUAGCUGGUCUGAGAGGAUGAUCAGCCACACUGGGACUGAGACACGGCCCAGACUCCUACGGGAGGCAGCAGUGGGGAAUAUUGGACAAUGGGCGCAAGCCUGAUCCAGCCAUGCCGCGUGAGUGAUGAAGGCCCUAGGGUUGUAAAGCUCUUUCACCGGUGAAGAUAAUGACGGUAACCGGAGAAGAAGCCCCGGCUAACUUCGUGCCAGCAGCCGCGGUAAUACGAAGGGGGCUAGCGUUGUUCGGAAUUACUGGGCGUAAAGCGCACGUAGGCGGACAUUUAAGUCAGGGGUGAAAUCCCGGGGCUCAACCCCGGAACUGCCUCUGAUACUGGGUGUCUAGAGUCCGAGAGAGGUGAGUGGAAUUCCGAGUGUAGAGGUGA